CGUUGCAGUUCAUUGCACCUGUAGAAAUGAACACAAUGGUUUCCUUGGCUCUGUUUAUCUGGAUGGCACUGCUCCUUUUACAAGACUCAAGCUGUCAGAUUGUUCUGACUCAGUCUCCAUCAGCCCAGUCCGUGAGUUUAGGACAAAGAGUGUCCAUCAACUGUAAGGCGUCUAGCUCUGUUAGCGAUGAAGUGCACUGGUACCUUCAGAAACCUGGCCAGGCUCCACAGCUCCUAAUAUGGGAGGGUACUAACCGGCAGUCUGGAAUUCCUGAAAGGUUCAGUGGCCAGUACUCUGGGACCAGCUUCACCCUAACAAUCAGUUCCUUCCAGCCUGAAGAUGCAGGGCAUUAUUACUGUCAGCAGGACAAUAGCUAUCCUUUCACACAGUGAUACACAGUCGUACAAAAACCUGCUCAAAAUAAAUGUCAACAUGCUGCUGUUCAGGGAAUGGAAAUUCUUUGCUUGAAUUGACACAGAAAUGAGUGGCUUUUGACACUUUUCAGACCUCACCUCAAAACUUGCAGCCUUACAGUCUCUACUCAAUAAUAUUCUAAAUACGGAA